rnacentral:misc_RNA from 1 species
UCUCCGUAGGUGAACCUGCGGAGGGAUCAUUACAGAGUUCAUGCCCUCCGGGUAGAUCUCCCACCCAUUGCUAUAACUACUCUCGUUGCUUUGGCGGGCCGCUGGACUCUGCCCGGCCGCCGGCCCCGGCUGGCGCGUGCCCGCCAGAGACCUCACAAACUCUGAAUGUUAGUGUCGUCCGAGUAACUAUACAAUCGUUAAAACUUUCAACAACGGAUCUCUUGGUUCUG